rnacentral:misc_RNA from 1 species
AAGUCGUAACAAGGUUUCCGUAGGUGAACCUGCGGAAGGAUCAUUAACGAAUAACUAUGGCGUUGGUUGUAGCUGGCUCCUCGGAGCAAUGUGCACGCCCGCCAUUUUUAUCUUUCCACCUGUGCACCGACUGUAGGUCUGGAUACCUCUCGCCUCCAGGCGGAUGCGAGGGUUGCUCGUAAGGGCUUCCCUUGAACUUCCAGGCUCUACGUCUUUUUACACACCCCAAUAGUAUGAUGCAGAAUGUAGUCAAUGGGCUUCUCAGCCUAUAAAACACUAUACAACUUUCAGCAACGGAUCUCUUGGCUCUC